UACGUAGGGGGCAAGCGUUGUCCGGAUUUAUUGGGCGUAAAGCGCACGCAGGCGGUCUCUUAAGUUUUGAGUGACAGGUGGUGGCUCAACUACCACAGGCCUUGGAAAACUGGGAGACUUGAGGACUUCAGAGGGAUGCGGAAUUCCAGGUGGAGCGGUGAAAUGCGUAGAGAUCUGGAGGAACACCGGUGGCGAAGGCGGAUCUCUGGGCCUUGCCUGACGCUGAGACACGAAAGCGUGGGGAGCAAACAGG
rnacentral:rRNA from 1 species